rnacentral:rRNA from 1 species
AGCGAACGCUGGCGGCGUGCCUAACACAUGCAAGUCGUGCGAGAAAGUUUCCUUCGGGGAGCGAGUAAAGCGGCGCACGGGUGAGUAACACGUAGGUAACCUACCUUUCAGUCCGGAAUAACCAGCUGAAAAGCUGGCUAAUGCCGGGUAAGACCACGAUCUCUGCGGGGAUCGCGGCCAAAGGCGGCCUCUUCAUGAAAGCUGAUGCUGAGAGAUGGGCCUGCGACCAUUAGCUAGUUGGUGAGGUAACGGCUCACCAAGGCUUUGAUGGUUAGCUGGUCUGAGAGGAUGACCAGCCACACUGGGACUGAGACACGGCCCAGACUCCUACGGGAGGCAGCAGUGGGAAUAUUGCGCAAUGGGGAAACCCUGACGCAGCGACGCCGCGUGGGUGAUG